CUCACAGGAAACCCCCAGAGCAUAAAAGUGAUGAUGCAGGGGCAUCAUUGCAGCCCUAGAGAGGAAGAGGAACAUGGCUGAAGACUUGGUUAAAAGAUUAGUCAAAUAUAGGGUUGAAACAGAUCUUUAAAGUGUUCACAGCAAUUCGGCUUUCAUUUGUAAACAAAGAGCAGACAGCUAGGAAGAUGACACCAGCAGCGGCAGGCGGAGACAGGCGGUGUGACACCGUAGCCCUCCGCUCUGCCUGACAUGUGCUGUGUGUCACGCAACCAAACUCAAGUGGAACAUGCACUGUUACAUGUACCAGAUUAUCGGACACGCCUAACAAGUGUGGCGCCAUUCGUAAAGCAACAAAACUGCUUGUCUUGAAAGAAAGUCCAGUGACAGAGACAACCUUGGCCAGUGUUGUGUUCGCUUCCUGACAGGGUGGGGAUUGUGACCAGGAAUUUGUCCAGCUUCCUCUUUGCCUUGGAAAGUGCAUUCCUGGCUGAGUGUGGUGCGUGUGCCUGCUUCUUGUGUGGUGGUGCUGCUGCUGCGUGAAGCCUCUGCCGUGGGAACCCACCACAAAUAGCUAAUGGAUUCUGUAUGACGGGAUCAGCAGCAGACAGAAUUCCAGUGAUGUAUUAACAUGCCUAGGGACAGCCUUGGGGGCAUCCAUUACUGGCAGAAGCCCGAGUGUGCUGAGUGACGGGGCGGCAUGACCUUGCACAUCAGAGGGUCAGGUCAGUGUGUGCAUUGUGCAUAUUGUGCCUUAGUGGCCUGUCAUCUCUCUCUCUCUCUCUCUCUCUCUCUCUCUCUCUCUCUCUCUCUCUCUCUCUCUCUCUCUCUCUCUCUCUCUCUCUCUCUCUCUCUCUCUCUCUCUCUCUCUCUCUCUCUCUCUCUCUCUCUCUCUCUCUCUCUCUCUCUCUCUCUCUCUCUCUCUCACACACACACACACACACACACACACACACACACACACACACACACACACUCUUGAUCAUGUGAAGAUGGAGAUAGAGAUCAAAGAAGAAGUGCCAAAAUUCAAUGAGGAAUAUAAAAAUGAGAGAAAAAAUUAUGCUAAGGCAGACUUUACAGGGUUAAAGAAAUUCUAUGGAGAGCUUGAUUGGAAUAAUUUAUUAAGAGGUAUGGAGG